rnacentral:misc_RNA from 1 species
AAAGUUUAAUCAUUAGGUUUACUGCCCGAAAAGAUCUAGUUAUAAGUUAGAACAAGAUUCAGCAAAAUUGUUACUACACCACGACACACGUCAUAACACGUGACGAAGCUUUUUCACUGGAAAUCAUUCUGUGUAGUGCAAAGCAGUCACAGGAUUUGUUUCAAUUUUGAAGAGUUCUUCCUCCCCAGUAAGGGCAAACUUGUUAAGCAGACAUAUGAGCAUAUGUCAGUUCUAGACAAGAACCCGGCACGGUACUCCGGUUGAAACAUUCCCAAAAACCUUGAAACCACGUCCUCAGUGACUGCAUUAAAGUUUAAUGUAAAAAAGGGCCUAUGAUGAGAUACUUGGCGGGAUAAACAUAUGCUACCCAUAUUUCGCAACUACCCUAAAAAAUAUAGACUCGUAACGUUUUCCACGACAAUGGAUUCCGUUAAUCUUUCAUCCUUUAACGACAGGCGUGCCAGCCAAGCUAGUAAUAACAUCAACCCAACCGAAACAAAUGUGCCAAAAUCUUUCGAAUCAUCUUCGAAUGACAGAGAAGGCCAACUUAAUCUAGCUUUCGUUAAUGAGGACGACAUCGCCCCUGAGAAUGAGACGUAUGAAAAAUUAAUUGAUGUCCCAGAACUGGGAAAGGGAUCAUUCAGCUUUCGUACAUUGUGGGCUUUCACCGGGCCAGGUUUCUUGAUGAGCAUCGCUUACUUAGACCCUGGUAACAUCGAGUCAGAUUUGCAGUCUGGAGUUGUGGCUGGCUAUAAAUUACUAUGGGUGCUGAUGACAGCCACAAUUAUGGGACUGCUGGUGCAAAGGUUAGCUAUCCGAUUGGGCAUGGUUACAGGCCUACAUCUAGCCGAGAUGUGCUACAAGCAAUACCCAAGAACACCACGCAUCAUAUUAUGGAUUAUGACGGAAAUUGCAAUUAUUGGGUCUGAUAUUCAAGAAGUAAUUGGAACUGCACUUGCGAUUUACAUUCUUUCUGACCAGGCAGUUCCCAUUUGGGGUGGUGUGCUUAUUACAGUUUUUGACACUUUCACUUUCUUACUCCUUGACAAAUAUGGGUUGCGCAAAUUGGAAUUUUUAUUUGGAUUUCUCAUUACCGUAAUGGCCGUUACAUUCGGAUACGAAUAUAUUCACGAUCCGCCACCACAAAUCGAAGUGAUCAAAGGCCUCUUCGUUCCAGGUUGUGCGGGAUGCGGACCUGAAGGUGUGCUUCGAGCUGUUGGGAUAGUUGGUGCUGUCAUUAUGCCUCAUAAUCUAUUUCUCCAUUCUGCUCUGGUCAAAUCUCGCAAAGUCAACCGAAGUGAUAAGCAUUCUGUCCAACAAGCCAACAUGUACUACUUUAUUGAGUCAUGUAUAGCUCUGCUGGUUUCAUUGAUUAUAAAUAUUUUUGUCGUCUGCGUGUUCGCCUACGGACUCUUUGGCAAGACCAAUCAAGAUGUGCAAAAUUUAUGUGCUAACAGCACGUCCUCUUCCUCGGCAGGAGAAAUCGAAGAAUUUUUUCCGGCCAAUAACGAAACCGUCGAUGCUGAUAUUUACCGUGCUGGACUCUUUUUGGGCUGCAAAUACGGUGACGCUGCCAGAUACAUUUGGGCUGUUGGAAUUCUAGCCGCUGGCCAAUCUUCUACUAUGACGGGGACUUACAGUGGCCAGUUUGUAAUGGAGGGGUUCUUAAAUUUACAUUGGGCCCGUUGGAAACGUGUUUUGCUUACGCGGACGAUAGCCAUCUCCCCAACCCUUUUUUUGGCUAUUUUUGCCGACAUUCAACAGUUGACUGGUUUAAACGACUACCUCAAUGCCGUUAUGAGUUUACAACUACCUUUUGCCUUGAUUCCAACUUUAACUUUCACAAGUUCUUCAAAGAUAAUGGGCCAAUUCGUGAAUGGAAUGUAAGUUCUAAACAAAGAUCUAUUCUGAGAGCGCUGAAAAUCUUGGGUGUAGCUCCAAGAGAGCUAGACGUCUAUUCAACAAAACUAUCUUAACUAUACUAGCGGUUGUUGUAGUCAGCAUCAAUCUGUUUUUCGUGGUUGUUACCAUCAAAGACGCUCUGCCCCCGCACUGGGCGAUCUACACUGCCUUUGGAAUAGGAGGGGUGCUUUAUUU